UCCCUCCUCACGAAAAAAAGUUGAAUGAUAUGGGAGCCCACAGAUGAUGAGGUCUGCACUCAGGUUCAUCAGCAGGACUGAGAAACAAGAAUGCUGACAGAAGAUGAAGCAAGGAACAAUAGCUUCAUAUUCAGUUCAAGAAGAGUGGGGUUUAUGUUUUUUUUUUUCCUGUUCAUCCUCCUGGUAUGUCAAGGACUGCUUCAAAAAUACAUGGGACUAGACAGAGAAUUAGAUUUGUCAUGCAACACAUCUGUGGCUAAACGAAUAUGUAUGAAGUGUGCACCAUUUGUUUUAGCAACUGAGCAACUGGUUAUGAAAAUUGCCUGCUGGAAACAUUUUCCACUGAGGCAGAUCUGCUUAUGAUGUCGUCUUUUUUUUUCCCCAUUUAAUUCUUGAUCCUGAGAAUAAGGAGUACCAUCCUUAGAGAAAGUGUAACCUGUCAGUAAGCCAACGUGCCCUAAAGAGCCUCGUCUUCUGGAGGGGCAGGCAGUGUCCCAGUUACACAAAACGUAUUAUACCAACACUACCACCUACAGGAGUUCAGCAAAAGGGAUAUGACACUUUACAAAAUGCAAAAUAAAACAGAAAUCAAAGCUUUUCCA
rnacentral:lncRNA from 1 species